rnacentral:rRNA from 1 species
GACGAACGCUGGCGGCGUGCUUAACACAUGCAAGUCGAACGGAAAGGCCCUGCUUUUGUGGGGUGCUCGAGUGGCGAACGGGUGAGUAACACGUGAGUAACCUGCCCUUGACUUUGGGAUAACUUCAGGAAACUGGGGCUAAUACCGGAUAGGAGCUCCUGCUGCAUGGUGGGGGUUGGAAAGUUUCGGCGGUUGGGGAUGGACUCGCGGCUUAUCAGCUUGUUGGUGGGGUAGUGGCUUACCAAGGCUUUGACGGGUAGCCGGCCUGAGAGGGUGACCGGCGACAUUGGGACUGCGAUACGGACCAGACUCCUACGGGAGGCAGCAGUGGGGAAUAUUGCACAAUGGGAGGAAGCCUGAUGAAGCAACGCCGCGUGCGGGAUGACGGCCUUCGGGUUGUAAACCGCUUUCGCCUGUGACGAAGCGUGAGUGACGGUAAUGGGUAAAGAAGCACCGGCUAACUACGUG